rnacentral:rRNA from 1 species
GACGAACGCUGGCGGCGUGCUUAACACAUGCAAGUCGAACGAUGAAGCGGUGCUUGCACCGUGGAUUAGUGGCGAACGGGUGAGUAAUACGUGAGUGACCUACCUUUGACUCUGGGAUAAGCCUGGGAAACUGGGUCUAAUACCGGAUACGACCAAUCUCUGCAUGGGGUGUUGGUGGAAAGCGUUAUGGAGUGGUUUUAGAUGGGCUCACGGCCUAUCAGCUUGUUGGUGAGGUAAUGGCUUACCAAGGCGACGACGGGUAGCCGGCCUGAGAGGGUGACCGGCCACACUGGGACUGAGACACGGCCCAGACUCCUACGGGAGGCAGCAGUGGGGAAUAUUGCACAAUGGGCGCAAGCCUGAUGCAGCGACGCCGCGUGAGGGAUGACGGCCUUCGGGUUGUAAACCUCUGUUAGCAUCGAAGAAGCGAAAGUGACGGUAGGUGCAGAGAAAGCGCCGGCUAACUACGUGCCAGCAGCCGCGGUAAUACGUAGGGCGCGAGCGUUGUCCGGAAUUAUUGGGCGUAAAGAGCUUGUAGGCGGUUGGUCGCGUCUGCUGUGAAGGCCGGGGCUUAACUCCGGUUUUGCAGUGGGUACGGGCUAACUAGAGUGCAGUAGGGGAGACUGGAAUUCCUGGUGUAGCGGUGGAAUGCACAGAUAUCAGGAGGAACACCGAUGGCGAAGGCAGGUCUCUGGGCCGUAACUGACGCUGAGAAGCGAAAGCAUGGGGAGCGAACAGGAUUAGAUACCCUGGUAGUCCAUGCCGUAAACGUUGGGCACUAGGUGUGGGGGACAUUCCACGUUUUCCGCGCCGUAGCUAACGCAUUAAGUGCCCCGCCUGGGGAGUACGGCCGCAAGGCUAAAACUCAAAGGAAUUGACGGGGGCCCGCACAAGCGGCGGAGCAUGCGGAUUAAUUCGAUGCAACGCGAAGAACCUUACCAAGGCUUGACAUGCAUUAGAUCGCGUCAGAGAUGGCGUUUCCCUUCGGGGCUGGUGUACAGGUGGUGCAUGGUUGUCGUCAGCUCGUGUCGUGAGAUGUUGGGUUAAGUCCCGCAACGAGCGCAACCCUCGUUCUAUGUUGCCAGCGGUUCGGCCGGGGACUCAUAGGAGACUGCCGGGGUCAACUCGGAGGAAGGUGGGGAUGACGUCAAAUCAUCAUGCCCCUUAUGUCUUGGGCUUCACGCAUGCUACAAUGGCCGGUACAGAGGGUUGCGAUACUGUGAGGUGGAGCUAAUCCCUUAAAGCCGGUCUCAGUUCGGAUUGGGGUCUGCAACUCGACCCCAUGAAGUCGGAGUCGCUAGUAAUCGCAGAUCAGCAACGCUGCGGUGAAUACGUUCCCGGGCCU